CCUUCCGGCGUCCCAGGCGGGGCGCCGCGGGACCGCCCUCGUGUCUGUGGCGGUGGGAUCCCGCGGCCGUGUUUUCCUGGUGGCCCGGCCAUG
rnacentral:pre_miRNA from 10 species